GACGAACGCUGGCGGCGUGCUUAACACAUGCAAGUCGAACGGAAAGGCCCUGCUUUUGUGGGGUGCUCGAGUGGCGAACGGGUGAGUAACACGUGAGUAACCUGCCCUUGACUUUGGGAUAACUUCAGGAAACUGGGGCUAAUACCGGAUAGGAGCUCCUGCUGCAUUGUGGGGGUUGGAAAGUUUCGGCGGUUGGGGAUGGACUCGCGGCUUAUCAGCUUGUUGGUGGGGUAGUGGCUUACCAAGGCUUUGACGGGUAGCCGGCCUGAGAGGGUGACCGGCCACAUUGGGACUGAGAUACGGCCCAGACUCCUACGGGAGGCAGCAGUGGCGAAUAUUGCACAAUGGGCGGAAGCCUGAUGCAGCAACGCCGCGUGCGGGAUGACGGCCUUCGGGUUGUAAACCGCUUUCGCCUGUGACGAAGCGUGAGUGACGGUAAUGGGUAAAGAAGCACCGGCUAACUACGUG
rnacentral:rRNA from 1 species